rnacentral:rRNA from 1 species
UCGCACGGUGCUCUUUCGGGGGUACAGUGGCGGACGGGUGAGUAUCGCGUAGGGAUUUAUCGUUGGGUGGGGGAUAACCGCGGGAAACUGCGGCUAAUACCGCAUGACGCCUGUGGGCCAAAGCAGUAAUGCGCCUGACGAGGAGCCUGCGUCCGAUUAGUUAGUUGGUUGGGUAAUGGCUGACCAAGGCGAUGAUCGGUAGCUGGUCUGAGAGGAUGAUCAGCCACACUGGGACUGAGACACGGCCCAGACUCC